UACGUAGGGUGCGAGCGUUAAUCGGAAUUACUGGGCGUAAAGCGUGCGCAGGCGGUUUUGUAAGACAGAUGUGAAAUCCCCGGGCUUAACCUGGGAAUGGCAUUUGGGACUGCAAGGCUGGAGUUUGGCAGAGGAGACUGGAAUUCCUGGUGUAGCAGUGAAAUGCGUAGAUAUCAGGAGGAAUACCGAUGGCGAAGGCAGGUCUCUGGGCUAUAACUGACGCUCAUGCACGAAAGCGUGGGGAGCAAACAGG
rnacentral:rRNA from 1 species